GAUGAAGAACGCAGCGAAAUGCGAUAAGUAGUGUGAAUUGCAGAAUCCCGUGAACCAUCGAGUCUUUGAACGCAAGUUGCGCCCGAAGCCAUUAGGCCGAGGGCACGCCUGCCUGGGCGUCACACGUCGUUGCCCCCCCAUCUACUCCUUCGGGAUUGCGGGGGGCGGAUGAUGGCCUCCCGUGCGCCUCGUCGCGCGGUUGGCAUAAAUGCCAAGUCCUCGGCGACGCACGCCACGACAAUCGGUGGUUGCGAAACCUCGGUUGCCCGUCGUGUGCGGUCGUCGCGCAUCGAGGGCUCGAAAAAAUUGUCGGGCUCCGGCUCGACUUUCAACGCGACCCCAGGUCAGGCGGGGUUACCCGCUGAAUUUAAGCAUAUCAAUAAGCGGAGGA
rnacentral:misc_RNA from 1 species